UCUUACUGCUGCAGUUUUCUAGUCGCAGUGCGGCAAAGCAGACGCAUAGAACCAGGCACAAAGCAGCAUAGGGUUUUUUUUAUAUCCUUGCCUUUUUCAUACGAGGGGAAUUUUCCUGGUGUUAGCGUAGGAACAGACACGCAGCCUGGAUGUGUUGGCUUCAGCCUGGCAGCGUUUUCAGCUGAGCAGGGACUGCGUGGAGCUCUGUACCCAAAUUGCCUCUGCGGAAGAACGCUUGCUUUCCCACUUUGUGUACUAAGAGGGUUUGCUUUUUUUUUUUUUUUACGCUACGGUGAUAUACCUGCAGCGAUAGGACAAAGGAGAUGGCACUUGUCACCGUUUGUCCGACUGGGGCCUUUGCAGGUGCUCCACUGCCGAAGCCGUGCCAGCAUCCCAGGGUCGUAUAGAUUGGUAAUACCGAUUGCCGCAAUUUCUUACAUCAGUUAGAGCAAAGCUCAAACAAGAAACCAGACUCUCUGACCUAAAUCAAUGCCAGUCCUUCUGGAUACAGGGCAGCAGUCGACUAGCAAUGACACAACCAGCCAUCAAGUGGAGAGUCUCUGGGAUUGCAAUCUGUAUCAGUUGGAGGCUGAGAGAACGAAACCCUUUCGGUUAUCCAGUCGCUUCUCCUUCUUCUAAUACUGCAAUUACUACAACUACUACUACUUCUGGUUUUCUUGCCUGUAAGAAGCUAUUAAUUGUGCUUCGUCUCUGAGUGUGUAUUUGUGUGGAUUAGCCUGUCUAUAACGCAGCCCUUAUCUGCUCCUGCUGGAAAUCAGGGCACGAAGUCAGCCUGCUUUAACAGUUGUUUCUUUCUGCGUGAUGCUAUGCAACUAGAAUGGGUUACACUGACAACAAAGGAACAAGCACAAAGCACCACUUUCUUUGCUGGACUGUUACAGGAACAUAACUCUUCUUCGAAAUGACACCCUGGUCUCUUUGCUGGCUUUUUUUUUUUUUUUUUUUCCUCCUCCUUUAAUUCAUCUAAUCGAAAAGCCUAACAGACACCAUCGUGGAUGUGGUUUUUUAAUGAUUUGGAAAAGACAGCCUGUGGAGACUGCGAUUUGAGACAGCAACACAUUUAGGUUAUUGCCAAUUUGAAAUACUUGGUUUGUGAAGCACAGCCCUAAGGGACGAGCUCAGUAACUGAGAAAGAGAUUGUAGAUAAAGAAAUAAAAAUGACAAGCGUAAUGGAGGCUCUGCAAAAGAGACUGUCAGAGAAUCAGUUCAUGGAUGGCAAUUUCACCAGUCUGAAUCUGAAUAAUUCAUAGAUUGAAAUUACCCUGCUUUCACCUUUCCAUUUAAACCGGCAUGAUCUGAAUCUCUAAUAAAUUUUCAAGAUAAAGUAAAAUGCCAAUUUGAAUCUGAAGAGCUUUUAAAACCAGAUGCUACACCCUGAAUCUUUCGAUACCUUUCACAAUUAUCCUGUGAGAACCGCACUUCAUCACGAAGCACCAUUACCAGUGAAAAUUACUGUGAUUACAAUAGCAACAAUAGAAUACCAUCAAAUGAUCUCUAAUUUACCUAAUUUACCAAGGCUGACUGUGUGCCCAUUGUGUUUCACUACGACUGGCAUUGGAUCAAUAUCACAGUGGAACAAAAAUGCCUUAGUGUGUGCUCCCUUUUGCUACCUUUGACAGCACAGGGGAAAAAAAAAAUUAAAAAAAUCUAUCUACUGUUAAAAUGUUUUUACAGCCAAUCUACAUGCCUGCUGUAGGAUCCGAUUGAUUCUCCAUGAUUUUCUUUACUUCCUGGGUAUUGGAUGUCAUUGUGUUACUGAUUUUGUUUAUAACGUAUACUCAUGCACAAAGGCUGCAGCCAAACGAGUACCAGCAGAGAGACCCUGCACUGCUGCUGCAGUAGCAGCGCUCUCGCAGGGGAAGCCAGCACGAGUUCGGUGCCUUAUGUGAAUAAUUACUCGUGUCUGAGUUACGCACGCUUUCUAGCAUCCCCGGUCUUGGUGGUACUACGUGAAAAAUGUAUGUUAAAGCCAUGGUCAAGGAAAACGAUUGUGUGUAACACUAACGAGAUUUUCCCCCCCCCCUCCCCUAUUCAGCAAUUAGCAUGUGGUUGCGAGAGACAGGCUGCGGCUCCUUCUGUAGAGGUGUGUAUGUAGGUACGUAUGCACAUACACAAAUGUAAAGAUACUGUGCUUUGUGAAUGUGUGCCGAUCACUGAAAGUAACAACUUUUUCUGACAAGCCAGGCGCAGUGCUUUGCCACAAUCUGCUCGGUUGUAACAAAUCCCUGUUUUGGAGGUGUAAAUUUCCUAUAGGAUGAUGCACGACUUCUGGAGCAGUAAGUACCAUUUAAGCAAUGCGCUUGGUGCCUAUAGCUAUGAUACAGAAUACUAUUUUAAGCAUAGUUUGAGUCCUUGAGUCCUCACUACAAUGUGGAGAAGUGAGAAACAUAUACAGAAGGCUAGAAACAGGCAUUCUUCAUGGAGACGACUCUGUCUGCUGUCUGUAUGCGUGUUGUACAUUUCAGGCUUGUUUUUCAUUUUAUAACCAGAUUUAAUCUGCCUUCAGGGAAUAUUUUCUAAGGAGGGAAGGUAAGCAGUAUUUCUCCUUAUUUAUAUGACUGUGUCGUAUUUCUUUUGGGGAAAAUGCAUGUUUAUAGCACAUAGUCAUAUAGUAUAGCAUGAUCUCAUGACAUCCUUUUAAGUGUUUCAGUAUUUGUUCAUGUUAAAACCGGGCAAGAAGGCAUAUUUAAAAUAUGGCUUUUUAUUCAAAAUACACUUGUAGAAGUGCUACGCAAAAAAGAAUGUAAAGAUCGGGUUUGCAUUCAGCUUUGACUCUUUAAUGUUAUUAAAUAAGAGCCUAUUCUACCUAAAUAAUAAUGUUCUUGAAACCUUUGGAUUUUAGAUAUUUUGUCUUCCGAAAACACAAUUUACUGUACUUCUAAAUUUCCUGUAUAUGAAUAGAGACUGUUCUCUAGAGGUAAAAGAGGCAAAAGAUUUUACAGCUUGAGCUGUGAUAACAAAGGAAUUUGAAAGGGUACAAAAUAUGAUUAUACAAAAAUCUUGGAUUUUAAAUUACUCAGUAACAUGAUUUAGCAAACUGUUUUUCUUAAACAGCAUACUCUUAAGUUACUACACUAUCUGGAAUUAAUUAGUCCAUUCAGUCCAUUUAUAUUCUUCAUUUUCACACGGUAUUCAAAACUUAACAAAGAAAAAUCCUUAUACAGGACAAAGACUGAAACUCUGGUGAAAGUGUAAAACCUACAUUCUGUUAUUGUGGUAAUAAAAUCAAGAGAUUAAGAUCAAACUUUUCUGAAGAGAAUUGGGUCUUUUGGCUUAACUGUUUUAUGAUGAGCAUUCUAUGGUUUUCUGUACACAAAUAUAACAUAUACUGAUAUAACUACUGUACUGCGAGGAUCAUGCAAACAGGAAUGUGAAUGUUUUGUAAAAUACCAUACGAAUAGCUGCCAGCAUUUACAUUAUUAUUAUUGCUAUUACUACCAUAAUCUUCUAGUAUCAUAUACUGUUUUGAAAUUGUGGUCUGUUAACCGUUUUGAUUCUGUUGAGUAUUUGCAGUCAGAUUUUUUUUUUACCAGCGUUACCUGCCGCAACAGCCUGUAGAGAGCGGCUGGUCAUGGGGUGCUAGAUGUCCUCAUUAACAAACAACUGCGGAGCAGAUCUAAUAUGCAGUUUAAAUGCUCUUCGUGGUUUCAUUUAAGGGCCUGAUCCAAAUCAUACACUGGAUCCACUCUGGAGUCCUCUAACUUACUUUGUGUUUCUAUUAUUCAGUUUUUAAUGUGCCACUUUCUUUGGCAGGGGGCUUUCUCCCACUGCUCCACACUGGCCUCACAUUUCAAAAUACGUAAUGCCGGUCAGGCCCAACACUGUUUCUCCGUGUAUGUCACCGCAGUAGUUGCCAGAGGAUGUUAUGACAGUGCCCUCAGGAGGCAUCCCUGUGGAGCUGAUAGCUGUGGACUACUGACCGGUAUACUAAGCAGGUAACCUGAAGCUUGAGUGGUUACAGGCGUAUUGGAUCCCACACCUUGGCAGAGGAUUAUUUCUGCACAUAUUCCGGGACAGCCCAACACUGAAGACUUACAAGGAAGAAAAAAAAAAAAAUCUUGAUUCUGCAACAAUUUGUUUGGAUCCCUUGAAGGUUAGCUCUCACCGCUGCAGAUACAGCUACGAGUACGCAUCUUUUGGCUGAAGUUUUCUUGCCUGCUGAACUGCCAGAGCCUUUCAGGGUAGAUUUCAGGUAAGGUAAAUCCAUUAAUCAAGUGCAAAAGCAGUAGGGAAAUACAUUUUAAAAUGACAAAUACGUUUUGGUAGCAGUCUCACAAGUUACUUCCCUGAAUUUGGCUUUUUUGCAAUUAGCACGCCGCAUGCAACAGCCUGCCCAAUUCCCGUAUGUCUCCAGGUCAUUACUAAUGCGUACUGCAGUUUCACAAAGGAGUUCGGGAUGGUUCUUGUCCCAGAGAGUUUGGUCAGAGGGAAACUAAACCCUGGCCUCUCCAAAAUUUUUGCAGCAGGCAAAAAACUCCAGCGUGGUCCCACACGACACGGCAGCUGCUGGGGCAUCACCAGGUGAUGCACAAGUCUCUGCCCCGCGGGUUACCUUACUGACACUCGCCAGCUGCCAGUUGUGUGGAAGAACUUGAACACAUUCCUCUUACCUUAGAAGAGGGAGGGAGGGAAUUGAGAGAGCGGCUGCGUGGUCCUAGCUGCCGGCUGGGGUUAAACCACGACAAGCGUAAAUUGGAGAGAUCACUGAAAAUUACAUACCAGUAGGUUUCUAAGAAAUAGAGAAACUAAGCAGUAACAAUUUCAAAGAACAACCAAAACUGGGAUUAAUGUGCAUGGAAAAGGGAAGAUAAAGAAGACAGUUCUCUAAAAUCACGAGUAGCAAAGACAGGUCAAAUCCGGAAUGGAAAUUUUCAUGUCAUGAAAGGCAGUAAACAACUAUGCAUCAAAUCAUUAGUUGAUUCAAAACAAAUAAAACCAGAAGUAUUUACUCAUAUAGCAUGUUGGUAACUUUGAAUUUCCUGGCCACAAAAUGUUGUGGUUUACAGAAUUUGAGAUGAGUUAAAGAUCUCUCAGACAAACUCGUACAUCAGGACCAAACAGAAAGACUCUACCUCCAACUUUGGAAGUCACAUCACUAGAAGCUGGGAAUAUUAGGCAGGUAGCUAUCACUACAUGCUUGUCAUUUUAUAAUAAUCUUUAGUAAUCAUCCUCCACUUUUCACCACUUUUCAUCACUUUUGGAGCCAGGGCACUGGGCUUUUUAGCCUGACCUGGGACAGCCCUUCUUACAUCCUGCUAUUAAGUAGCUCCUGCAGUUUGUGGAGAACCCUCUGUGGAUUCAUUUGAGUCAACCUGAACAACAAGAGUCAGAUACUCAACCUAAACAACAAGACUCCAAACAGAAUUAAGACUGAAAAUAUAGGAAGAGGUAACUAAGAGAGCAGGAUCAGCAAGUAAUGUAAAGAAAAGAUAAAGCAGAAUUAAACUUGCAUAUAGUCUUUAAGUCUUAAAGUAAAAAGUGGCAUUACACAUGAGAUGACAGAAAAUAAUUCUCCAUCCUUGUAAAAGAAAAAAAAAUACUCUUUUCCUCCCAGCAGGUGAAAUGACAAGAAAAUUGCAAUGUGUCCUUAAACUGAAAGAAGCUUAAUUCUCAGAUCAAAUCUAUAUCAACACAAUUUAAAAAAAAAAAAAAAAGAGCUCUGGAAGUGCAUGAGUAAGUACGCAUAGCAAAUGAAGAAUAAAUUGAUAUAAAUAAGUGCAAAAAUCAUAGAAGCUCACCGUUAUCUAUUUUUUGUUUUAAACUAACUGAAGUAAUCCCAUAGCUAUAUAACCCAUCUAAAAAUGGCCUCGGUCAUGUCAGUCCUCUGUCACUAAAAAUAAUUGGAUAUAAAAUGUUCUUUCAUAUUUGUUCUAUAAGUGAAAUCCUCACAUAGUAUGAAUCGCUCAGGGUUCACCAACUUCCAGAGAACUAUGACAAGUCACAGCAGCUGAGGAUGUGCCCGGUGUGUACCAUGUUGGCUGACACAGCAAAGCCGUAAAUCCAGCCUUGACAAAAAUCACGGUUUUUCAAUUGCACGUGAGACUGUUAACUGACCAUUUACUGAGAUUCUCAUGCACCAACCUCUACCAGCAGAAGGGAAGGAGAAGAGAGAAGCAAUGGUGCAGAGCCUGCAGUUUCCCUUCCCUGCAGCCCUUUGCUCAAAGACCUACACAAUAAGGCAACAAAGUAAGCCAGUGCAGCUGUGGGAUCGGCAGCUUUCGUGUUCAUGGCCAGCAGCACACUACUCAGCCCCCACUGUCUUGGGGCUGAAGUAACCCAAAGCCGCUCUGAACCUAAGCUAGGAAGGGAGGAGUUUCUCCCACUACCAGCACCUAUGAAUGAACAUUGUAAAGCCCAGUUGUCAACCCCGGCCUUGAUGAAACGCUGCAAGAUUUAUUCACAGUUGAAUCCAGAUGUUUUCUAAAUUGACUGUCAUCAUUAUCUCAGCCAACAGCAAAGAUAGGGCUGAGCUGCUGUCCAGUGACUUUCCCUCUCAAAGUACCUUCAGAGGUUCUGCCACCUGACAAACUGCUCCAGCGACAGGAUGCUCUCAUGAGAUUCAUCAUUUUCUUCGAAGUAACCGGACCUCAGGCCCGUAGCAAUUUUAGAGCCCCCUAAGAAAUCUGUCCUCUAAUUAUCAUUCUCAGUUUUGCCAAGGAUUUGCAACUUCUGUAUGAACUCCUUGGCCACAUUCAGUAAUCUUGUUGAUCUCAACCCCCAUAUUUCUGCUUCUUUCAACUCCUGCUAGCAAAAAUUCUGACAGUGCUUUCCCGAGAAGGACAGAAACCUUCUGUUCCCUUUUUCCCGUACACUCCAGAAAAUAUCCCUGACCAUACAUGCUUCUUCUAUAUUUCCUCCCAGUGAAACCCCUGAGACUUAACUCACUUCCAGUUCUCUGCCUAAAUUUCCCUUCAUUCUCAUUUCUAGGUUAAAUAACUGAAUAAAAUAAUUUCAACUCUAUAAUUUAUAGGAAAACGUAUGCUUUGAAAUAAAAUCUUUGCAUUUUCAACCACUGAAGGAGAAUUGUAGUCAUUUAGCAAACAUCGCAACUUGAAGUUAACCCAUUUUUUUUUUCCAGGACAUACAGCUAGAGAGAAUUUUUCCAUUGUAAUGGAAUUCCCUAAUGAACCAUAGUUAACGUACUAGGUUGCUUUCUGUGUAAUCUUGAAAAAAAUCCAAAAGGUAUUUCAUUAUGCUAUGAAGAGAUAUAUAAACAUGCAAAUGCUUCCUGUUGUUAUAAGUUUUAAGGAAAGACUUCUGUAAGCAUUUAUCUAUAGUAUAUCUGGAUUAAAUAGCCCUGCUAGAAGGAAGAGAAAACAUUUUGCAUUCACCACCAUUAUGCUUUACUUGUUGGAAUAGAUACCUGAUAAGAAUUGUACGAGAACUAUAGCUGCUAAUGAAUGAUUAAAGGCUAGGAAGCAGAUGUGAAGGGAAAGUAGAACAACAAUACCUCAUUUGUUUUUUUCCGGGGAUGCUUCAUUCUCUUCUACUGAGUUUUGCUUUGAGAUAUCUACAAUAAAAUGGACUGAAGUAGGACAGGAUUUGGACUCUUUACCAUCUUGUAGAAAGCUCUCUUUCCUGAACUGUGACAAAAAAAAAUAAUUAAAACUCUGAUGAAGUUUAUGAACUAAAAAUAAUAAUAGUGUCCAAAAUGUCAAUGGAAUUAUUUCAUUUAGGUGAUUUUAAAACAGUUGGAUUAUGCUAGAAUUAGCUUAUGUUUGUAACUAAAAACCAUUUUACCGAAAACCGAAAUCUUUGAUUUGAAGCGUCAAAACCAUGUUUUAUCAAAUUUAAUUUUUCAGGGCGUUGAAAUCUGAUUUGACCUAUUUCCUACAAAGUUUUGGCUUAGACAAAUAGAGGCAUUUUUGGAUGAAACUCAUUUUGUCAAAAAGCUCCAAGCUGGCUUUGCUGUCCAUGGCAGUCCAUACAAAUAUCACAGGAAACUUCUGGUAUAUGCAAUGGCUUAAUCAGCUGAAACUUGAAUAACACGCAGACACGUAUCUAACUGAUCCCCAGAUGACUAGGAAAUCUGUGUCCCAUAUGCUGUUUAAAAAGGGAGGUCUUAAAAUUUAAUUAGACAGGAGAAAGAAACAGAGCCUGCUUUUUUUUUUUAAUCAUCAUUCAAUUUUUUUCACUUUGCAUAUCUAUGUAAACCCCAUCUAUUCACCUAAUCACAGAUUGCUCCACAAUCGCUUACAAGGUUUGUCAUGUACUACCUAAAUUCACCUAGAUUUCUGUUUUAUUGGCAUCCCAAGAAUCCAAAUUGCAGAGAAACCAACUUGAGAACCCAUGAGGUGAGUAAAAUCACCAUGGACAAACACACAUGCUUGCCUGCAUGGGAAAUAAUUAGCAUGCAGUCACCUACGGUACAGAUGCAUACUUCACCAAAUCAGUGCCUUUCAGUCUAUACCAAUCUGCGGGCUCCUAGUUUUCUUCUUCUUCCCAGUGGAAGUACAGACCUUUAUGAAGCAAAUCAAAGCUCCCUGACUCUUCACAGGUAAAUUAUCACAGACCGCUUAUAAAAAGCUCACAGACCUCCAGACUAUGCGUGGAAAGCAACACCAGCACCAGCGCUCCAAACUUGUUCCCACGUAGAAACUCUUUAUAGUGCACAAAGACUAUGCGUACCUUUAUACCGCUUCCAGAAAACCCAUCUUUUUCAAGUUCAACUAAUUUCCAGUUACAAACACAGAUGUGUGUUUGUAAGUGACUUGCCCAGGUGACAACAGGAGAUCUAUGGACGCUCAUUACAAAGCUGAUUAUAUAGUCCCAGAGUCCUGUGUUUUCUGGUUCUAAUUCAGGUGAUUUUACCCAACCAGCUGGAGAAAAUUUCCCUCAUGCUCAGUAAAGAAUUGUGCUUGCGGCACAAAAUAGAAAUGUUACUACAUUUCUUGGGCCUAAUGAAGUGCUCAUGGCAUCACCAGAGGCUCUGACUUUAUACAUAAGCCUUAUUAAGACUUAGUUACCUUUUAAGGUGGUAGGAAAGCAUAGAGCAUGAGGUGCUUUAUUGAACCUUACAGUGGUGGUUCAGGGGAUUACCAGCCGCAGCUAUCUGCCUUCUGCGGGGGGGGAUGCCAGCCCUCAGCUGCUCCCGUGGCUCUCCUGACUGCAGGGCAUGUACAAACGCGGUUGGGUCUCCUUAUGACACCCGCACAUAAAAAACGAGUGGAAAAUUCAGUGCCUGGAAAAGACCACCUUCCUGAUUGCAGGGCACAGACAGCUAGCUGUCCUCCAGCAAAGCUAGCCGCAGUCAUCCCUGCAUUGAACUGGUUGGGAGGGUCAGCUCAGGUUAAAAAUAAUCAGAGCUUAUUUGGGGGUAUGGAGGGGCAGGGUUUGGAUCCAGGUUGUUGUAAGGCCCCAUAAACAAUUUUACAAGAACAACUGAAGGAGGGCAUAGGCUGGGAAUGAGCAGCUGGGGGCUGUUAAGAUGGCAUUGUCAGUGAAUGGCACUGCUUCCCCGAAUUUUCACUGAAACAGGGCUUGAGCGUUCGGAUAAUCAGCCACGACAUCUGAGAUAUGGGAGCGGUACGAAGCAGAUGGGCCAGUACCUGCUUAAAGUGCUCUAGCUCGAGUCACUGAAAAGGACAUCUGUCUCUGCUCUCAGACCGGGUGCCUCAGUGACCCCACCACAGCUGGGCAGCAAGAACUCUUCUGGGUGUUUAUGAACGGGUAUUUUUCAGAAGCUUGUGCUCCAAGUGGUAUUGUGAAUGAAUUUUCACAAGGCAGCCAGAAAACCUCCUGCUGUCAGAUGUGCUGACUAUCAAGUCCUUGUUGCAACACGCAGAGGUACUACAGCUCCUCAGCAAAACAGUUGCAAAAAUACUUUUAAGAUGCCAAAACCAGCAACCCUUAGCCUUGAUCGACAAAAUAAUUCUAUCUGAAACUUUUCACUCUGAGGUACACAAUAGUUUUGGAGAUUUCAGCCCCUGGAAUGAAAGUUCAGCAUAGUUAAUGGUAUCAGAAAGUUGAAUUCCUGAAGGCAAACACUGGACACCUGUGGCUAUAUUAUACUUCGGUCUAAAAAGUUACCAUGUCUCUCCUUUCCUCGGUUCUUGGAUCAAACCCCAGACCACCAUAUUUUUCACUCAGGACAGCAUACAACGCUAAAAGCAUCAUAUAGAAAUUACUAAUAUGAAAGGGCUGAAUACAAGGCAUUUAAAAAAUAAACCAGAAAUAAAUCAUUACUGAAGAAUAAUUGUUUUGUUUGCUUGUCGUUAGACAUCUGUUCAUAGACACUGCAAACGUUCCACUUGGUGUCUGGGUUUAAUAGUAACAACUUUGCGGGGAUGCCUUCUUCUUCCUCAUUGUUUUCACUUGGUUUCUAAGGCAAACAAAACCUUUUUUUUUCAGCCCUUUAAUAAAUUGAAGCUGUUACAGAGUUAGAAGUAAAUAACUGCACAGUAUGGGAACUUAGAUCCAACAAGCCUCAGAAUGCAUCAAAGGUCACUAUAUGCACAGUAUCAAACUCUUUCUCACUCCCUUCCCCCCAGUCCCCGGUAAUCCCCAGGACUUCACUGCAGUGACUGAGUAGAAUUGAGGGCAAAAAUUGACCUGAAAAAUGUCGAGCUAGCCCUCCUCUUGCUCCCCUCUCCCUGUCAUCUGCUAACAUUUCCAGACAACAAAUAGAGUGCUGAAUGCGAACUGUUUAUUUUGCUGGGAAUGCCAUCUGCGUGGUGGCAGCUGGGGUGGGAGGGAAGGCACAUAGACGAAUGAACAGCGAUAAAUAUAGACAGUUGACAAAAUCAGGAGAAGUUCUGCUGCUUUCCAGUGUUCUGGAUCUUUGCAUGCUUCCAUUAAGUGGAUACAGCUCCUCUUAAACUGGUGUUUGAACAUCUGGAUUAUUUAGCAAGACAGCAAAUUCAGAAUAUUUGAACGGAGAUGUCAAACAAGCCAGUUUGGGCAAAAUGCUGAGACUACUGAAAAUGCUGAAGUCAUUUAUGGUUAUAUUCCAUUUUUAACAUAUUGCAGUACACUGGAACUAGCAAGGGGCAAAAAAGAAGAUGAGAGUAAGUAUUGUCAAAAGGAAUAUGUCAUAAAUCAUCCAAGAUGAAAAAUCAGUGAAGAUCUGGAAAGAAUGUUUCUUGCAGACCACAAAUAAAAUCAAUGUCCAGAUCAUCGACAAUUGAACCGGAAUUCUACAAAAGAACUGCUGGCAUAACAUUUUAAUUUCCAAUUGCUAUUCAAAAGGACCGCUUACUUUUGAAUCAUCCCUUUUCACUGUAUUACAGAAAGGAUAAUUCAAUAAUUAACACCCCAUCUUAACAUAUUCAGUUCUGUAAAGAAGAUGAUGUCAGAGGAAAUUUUAGAGAUUGAAAUUUUCACUAGCAGAUUGCUAACAACAUCUUGUAUAUGCAGGAUCACAGAAGGGCUGAGGUGGGAAGGGACCUCUGGCGAUCGACAGGCCCAAUCCCCUGCUCAAAGUGGGGUCCGCAAGGCAGCAGGUCGCACAGGGCCAUGGCCAGUUGCAUUCUGAAUUAUCUCCAAAGACACAGGCUCCACAACCCCCCUGGGCAUCCUGUUCCACUGUUUGACCAGCCUCAUGGGUAAAAAGUUUGUUCUUCUGUUUAUAUGGAAUUUCUUUUGUUUCAUUUUGUGCCCAUUGCCUCUUAUCCCUUCCCUGGAUACCAGUGAGAAGAGACUGUCUCUGUCGUCUUUGCUGCCUUCUGUCAGGUAUUUAUACACACGUAUAAGAUCCCCCCUAAGCCUUCUCUUUUUGAGGGCAAUAUAUUAAUAAAUAUCAGUAAAACAUUAAUAAAAUAUUUUAAAAUAUGUUUACUUACUUUGGAA